GCGUUGUUAGCUCAGCCGGACAGAGCAAUAAGCAAUCGGUCACUGGUUCGAAUCCAGUACAACGCGCCA
rnacentral:tRNA from 1 species